rnacentral:rRNA from 1 species
UACGUAGGGGGCAAGCGUUGUCCGGAUUUAUUGGGCGUAAAGAGCGUGUAGGCGGCUUGGUAGGUCCGCUGUGAAAACUCGAGGCUCAACCUCGAGAUGUCGGCGGAAACCACUUGGCUAGAGUCCGGAAGAGGAGAGUGGAAUUCCCGGUGUAGCGGUGAAAUGCGCAGAUAUCAGGAGGAACACCGGUGGCGAAGGCGGGUCUCUGGGCAGUAACUGACGCUGAGGAGCGAAAGCGUGGGGAGCGAACAGG